UCAAGAUGACCACCAACAGAAAGAUAUUUACUCAUCCAGAGAGGUUCCUCGUUGCAAAGUAUGUACAUGACACUGCAAAGUGCAAAAUGCAAAAUGAUUUAAGAUACUGCUUCAUCCUGCAACUAUCUUAAGGUAGAAACACAAACAUGCUGGAUGUUCUUGGCUCAUCAUCUCUAGAUAAAGGCAAUGUCAAAUAUCAGGAACUACUCACACUGGUCCUCUAAAAUCUGUUGUUUCAACACGGUCUUCAAAAUAUUUGAUCAUUAGUUUCUUUAAAGUAAAUCCAUAAAAUACAAAAUAAAUGUAUAUUAUGGAAAUACUUCUCGACAGUCGAGACAAAUUGACUGAUUUCCACCUACCUAAUAGUAUAUUGCAAGGAUAUUGGUAGUCAAAUUUCAAAAAAUUGGUUCUACCUUUCUCUCAAAGGUCAGCUUUUACAGGACCGGGGGAGUAUGCUUCUAUACUCGCCCAGUAAAAAAUAGGUGGUUUUUUAGUGACGUGCAGACAGAACAUGAAAUAAAUUAGUGCUUCAUGAUUUUUGUGUAUUUAGCUAUAGAGUU
rnacentral:lncRNA from 1 species